UACAAGCUGUAGCUGAAGAUUUCGAAAGCUUAGAAAACUACGAUAUCUAUAUUGCAGGUCGUUUUGAAAUGGCUGGCGCAGCACGUGAACAGUUCACUCAGAACAAGAAAGCGAAGAGCGAACGUAUGUUCGCAGACGCGUACGCAUUCAUUUAAAUACGGCUUUUAAGGCAGAAAAAGAGGGUUUUUUACCCUCUUUUUUGCUUUUUUGAUGAAAUAGUCAUCGAACAGUCAUUUUUUUCCAUUUUUUUUCAAAAAAGGGUUGCGAACGGAUCUGAGUUCCCUAUAAUGCGCAUCCACCGACACGGCAGACGCGAUAAGGCUUCAGCAGGGUCGGAGAGGUGAAAGCUUCUACGAAAAAUAAAAUUGAAAAAGUGUUUGACACUGUCAAUUAAAUCGCUAGAAUGCACCUCCGCUUUGAGAGAAAAACUUCUCGCAAAGCAAGCUC
rnacentral:rRNA from 1 species